rnacentral:rRNA from 1 species
AUUGAACGCUGGCGGCAUGCUUUACACAUGCAAGUCGAACGGCAGCGCGGGCUUCGGCCUGGCGGCGAGUGGCGAACGGGUGAGUAAUACAUCGGAACGUGCCCAGUAGUGGGGGAUAGCUCGGCGAAAGCGGGAUUAAUACCGCAUACGACCGGAGGGGGAAAGCGGGGGAUCUUCGGACCUCGCGCUAUUGGAGCGGCCGAUGGCAGAUUAGCUAGUUGGUGGGGUAAAGGCCUACCAAGGCGACGAUCUGUAGCUGGUCUGAGAGGACGACCAGCCACACUGGGACUGAGACACGGCCCAGACUCCUACGGGAGGCAGCAGUGGGGAAUUUUGGACAAUGGGCGAAAGCCUGAUCCAGCAAUGCCGCGUGUGUGAUGAAGGCCUUCGGGUUGUAAAGCACUUUUGGCGGGAACGAAAAGGACUGUGCCAAUACCACGGUUCGAUGACGGUACCCGCAGAAUAAGCACCGGCUAACUACGUG